UACGGAGGGUGCAAGCGUUAAUCGGAAUCACUGGGCGUAAAGCGCGCGUAGGCUGUUUGGUAAGUCGGACGUGAAAGCCCUCGGCUCAACCGAGGAACUGCGUUCGAAACUGCUGAACUUGAGUCCUGGAGAGGGUGGCGGAAUUCCGGGUGUAGGAGUGAAAUCCGUAGAUAUCCGGAGGAACACCGGUGGCGAAGGCGGCCACCUGGACAGGUACUGACGCUGAGGUGCGAAAGUGUGGGGAUCAAAC
rnacentral:rRNA from 1 species